GGGUUACUAAUUCUAUCAUGCUAAAGAACAUAAGAUGCUUAUCAGCAGUAGGGUAUUCCUUUUGGAAAGGAGUUCCUUAGAGAAGGACUGAUGCGUAUCAAGUUGAACUUGAAAGUUUGACUGGUAGAAAAUGAACCGACAUAAUCUAGUAAACCUAUAGAACCGGAUUUGAUUAGAUCAAACUCGGAGCCCAUUAAAGUAACACCUUUAAGGA
rnacentral:lncRNA from 1 species